AACGAACGCUGGCGGCAUGCCUAACACAUACAAGUCGAACGAGACCUUCGGGUCUAGUGGCGCACGGGCGCGUAACGCGUGGGAACCUGCCCUUAGGUUCGGAAUAACUCCCCGAAAGGGGUGCUAAUACCGGAUAAUGUCUUCGGACCAAAGAUUUAUCGCCUUUGGAUGGGCCCGCGUUGGAUUAGCUAGUUGGUAGGGUAAAAGCCUACCAAGGCGACGAUCCAUAGCUGGUCUGAGAGGAUGAUCAGCCACACUGGGACUGAGACACGGCCCAGACUCCUACGGGAGGCAGCAGUGGGGAAUAUUGGACAAUGGGCGAAAGCCUGAUCCAGCAAUGCCGCGUGAGUGAUGAAGGCCUUAGGGUUGUAAAGCUCUUUUACCCGGGAUGAUAAUGACAGUACCGGGAGAAUAAGCUCCGGCUAACUCCGUG
rnacentral:rRNA from 1 species